AAGGACCCAGGACAGGGCAUCUGGACAUGGAUCUUUGCAUGUUUGGCUCUCUCUGUUCCAGCGGCCCUCCCAGAAGUUGGGAGGGGUGAAGGCUCCCUUGGGCUCUCCAUUCUUGGGUCUGUGGUUGGAAGAAGAAUGCCCUUCUGCUCACUAUGAACAUGACUUAUGACCUCCCAGACAGCAAAGAUAAGGAGACCCAGAACCAGGAAGGUGUCACAGCCCCCAGGAUCCUCCACCUUCCCAUUCUGCCUCAGCCGAACGUGGAGGCCUCAGAAGGAAAAAGCCUCACUGAAGAUGACGAUUUGCUCAAAGAGGAAGACGCGCCUCUCUCGACCCCGGUAAGAGAGCAGCCCCCCGGCUUCAGGCUCUGUGACCCAGAAUGUGUCCUGGCCCAAGAGCUUCCCCUGAGCAGUCAGUUUGCCCUGGAACCAAAGGAUAGCAGCCUUUGAGAAAGAACAAGAAGAGAAAAAGGGCAAUUCCCUGAUCCUCCUUCCCUGCUCUGACACUCCCAACCAACCGUGGCAUUAGCCCAGGAGGAGAGAGCUCCCCAUAAGGACCUCCAGAGUGUUAACACUGGGGCAGAAACUGGGCACCGGUUUCCUGCCCCAUCUCCAUACCUCAAAUCCCCGCAGUCUCCCCAGGGUCAUCAUAUCAUUGCAGCGCUUGGGCACGAAGCACAUGACCUCCACAGCUUGCUGGGAUGCAGUUCACUCAGGACAUACCUAAGAAUGGGAGGGUGCCCCCACUUCAGAGUCUGGGCACAUCCUUCGUGUAGCCAGUUCCUCCCUCCUUCACUAGAAGCCCCUUCAUCACCAUGGCCAACCUCAGAGGGGAAUUCCAUCUAAAACGUGAGGGACAAUCUUCUGGAAGUUAUGCAAUUGCUGGGGGUGGGGGGCAGAACACUUACAUACUCCUUUCCAGAGCCUUCUUCUUCUGUUCCUCCUCACUCUUGGGGGCUUGGGACAAAGUCUCUUCUUCAGAUUGCUGAAAUGAAAGAACAUACUAGGGUAAGCAAAUGAAUGCCUCUUGGAUGAGGGGAGCCGUCCCAGACCUGUUUCUUCAUACCUGUGUUUUAUCUUUAGGGCCCUCCAACAACGUUGUCAGCAAGGUCAGUUCUGGCAGCUCCUCUCCUGUGGCUAGAGCUGGCUCCAACAUCCAGUUCUGGGAGCCAGAGGUCAAGUGUCAGAGGUCAUGGACAACAGCUGAAUGUCCCCAGUGACCAGUGCCCCCAACUUGCCCUCUCUCCCAGUGGCCUUCAUGGAUGUCCUACAUCCUUCUGUGGUGUUCCCUGCUCACCUCAUAUGGUCCCGCCUGACCACCGUCUGCCUCAGUUUCCACACUGAGACAAUGUUUGGAAUGAUCCAACCAUCUCCUUAGGCCCCUGACUGGCCCUGGGGGGCCGGGGGAACAGGGGCCAGAGCUGAGGCCAGAGUUGGGGCCAGAGAGGGCAGCCAGACCCGAGGCAGCAGAAGCCGAUAUACUCCCCUCACUGCCAGCAAUGGAAUAGGAUUCUAAGAGGGGGGAAAAAAAAAAAAGGUGAUAGACAUUGCUCCAGCUCCAGACUCAGGGUCCCCAAGGAACUCUCAGGGUUUCCUCUCCAUAAUGCUCAGCCCCUCUCUCCCAGGGCUCACUCUCUUGCCAUCCUCAUUUGAGUUGGCCAGGGUAGAAAAUUCCACCAGGGCACCCUUGGGAGGAAGGACAGUAAACACCUGGCUCCCCAGGCCCGGAACCCCCAGUUACAUGUGGAGGUUCCCCAUAUCCUGAGCACAGCAUAGAUAUGGGGGUGGGGGCAGCCAUCUGGGCAAACACUAGAAGCAGGGGGAGGCCAUCUGCUCAGCUACAACCCUCCCCCUUCCAAUGGGUACAGACCAUUCUCUGGGAAGAGGGGGAAGAGCUAAGAGUCCAUCUGCCACUCCCAGACCCCUCCUCCAGCAAUUGCAGUAAUCACUAUAGAAAGAAAAGACUUGUGCAGCCCACCUCCCCAACACAUGCACAAACCCAAUAGAGGGGCUGCUGAGAGUGCAUGAGGCUUAUCUAUGGCUUGGGCUCAGGGACAG